GUUUAAAUAGCUUAUACAGAGCACAACACUGAAGAUGUUGGGGAAAUUCUUGGAUUUUUGGACA
rnacentral:tRNA from 1 species